AACGAACGCUGGCGGCAGGCCUAACACAUGCAAGUCGAGCGGACCUUUCGGGGUCAGCGGCGGACGGGUGAGUAACGCGUGGGAAUAUGCCCUUCUCUACGGAAUAGUCCUGGGAAACUGGGGGUAAUACCGUAUACGCCCUUUGGGGGAAAGAUUUAUCGGGGAAGGAUUAGCCCGCGUUGGAUUAGGUAGUUGGUGGGGUAAUGGCCUACCAAGCCGACGAUCCAUAGCUGGUUUGAGAGGAUGAUCAGCCACACUGGGACUGAGACACGGCCCAGACUCCUACGGGAGGCAGCAGUGGGGAAUCUUAGACAAUGGGGGCAACCCUGAUCUAGCCAUGCCGCGUGAGUGAUGAAGGCCUUAGGGUUGUAAAGCUCUUUCAGCUGGGAAGAUAAUGACGGUAUCAGCAGAAGAAGCCCCGGCUAACUCCGUG
rnacentral:rRNA from 1 species